UAAAAUUUGCGUCGAACGGAGGCCGGGAAGGGCCUCAUCGGAGGCAAAAACAGAGGGGGGGCGCGGCGGCGUCGCUGGACUUCAGCUGGGUUUUCUGGCCGUUUGGCCGGUGGUUCAGCUCCGAUUUGGCCAUAGGCGGACUCAACAUCGAGAAACGAGCUAGGGGGAGAAAAUUUACCUCGAUCAGCGGUCGAAAACUUCCCUGGUGUUGCGGCGGGCGGCGGCGGCCGGCUCAUCCGGCGUCUAGUUCUUCUUCUCCGACGAGGCACUGGCGGCUAGGGUUUUGUGGUCAGGUGUGGGUGGGGUUAUUUAUACCCUUUGCCUUUUAAUCUCAACCGUCCAUCAAGAUUAUAUCUGGACCGUCCGAUCGCGAUUUAAUUGGAAUUAAAUAUGGGCCUUCC
rnacentral:lncRNA from 1 species